GAUGAACGCUAGCGGCAGGCUUAACACAUGCAAGUCGAGGGGUAACGAUAGUGCUUGCACUAGGCGACGACCGGCGCACGGGUGAGUAACGCGUAUGCAACCUACCUAUAACAGGGGGAUAGCUUCCGGAAACGGAAAUUAAUACCCCAUAGUACCUAUUUAUCGCAUGAUAAUAAGGUUAAAACUCCGGUGGUUAUAGAUGGGCAUGCGUGCCAUUAGCUAGUUGGUGAGGUAACAGCUCACCAAGGCGACGAUGGCUAGGGGGUCUAAAAGGAUGGUCCCCCACACUGGUACUGAGACACGGACCAGACUCCUACGGGAGGCAGCAGUGAGGAAUAUUGGUCAAUGGGCGAGAGCCUGAACCAGCCAUGCCGCGUGCAGGAAGACGGCCCUACGGGUUGUAAACUGCUUUUGUAUAGGAAGAAAACGAUCUACGUGUAGGUCACUGACGGUACUAUACGAAUAAGCACCGGCUAACUCCG
rnacentral:rRNA from 1 species